GGUUGUAGCUCAGUGGUAGAGCGCUUGCCUGGUACAUGGGAGGCACUGGGUUCAAUCCUCAGCACCA
rnacentral:tRNA from 1 species